rnacentral:rRNA from 1 species
AUUGAACGCUGGCGGCAGGCCUAACACAUGCAAGUCGAACGGUAACAGGAAGCAGCUUGCUGCUUCGCUGACGAGUGGCGGACGGGUGAGUAAUGUCUGGGAUGCUGCCUGAUGGAGGGGGAUAACUACUGGAAACGGUAGCUAAUACCGCAUAAUGUCGCAAGACCAAAGAGGGGGACCUUCGGGUCUCUUGCCAUCGGGUGUGCCCAGAUGGGAUUAGCUGGUUGGUGGGGUAACGGCUCACCAAGGCGACGAUCCCUAGCUGGUCUGAGAGGAUGACCAGCCACACUGGAACUGAGACACGGUCCAGACUCCUGCGGGAGGCAGCAGUGGGGAAUAUUGCACAAUGGGCGCAAGCCUGAUGCAGCCAUGCCGCGUGUAUGAAGAAGGCCUUCGGGUUGUAAAGUACUUUCAGCGGGGAGGAAGGGAGUAAAGUUAAUACCUUUGCUCAUUGACGUUACCCGCAGAAGAAGCACCGGCUAACUCCGUG